GUAAAUGCUAAAUGCAUCCGACACCAAAAAGGUCGAUAGUAAAUAAAUUUGAUUCUAGGACAGAAAAUUUGGUCAAUUGGUCACACAGGCUAUAGCAUGACCCGUGGACUGCUACCCCCCAGAGUUUAGUCCGAGUCCCCUUAAUAAGGGCUUUAAAGAACGUCCUUCCACAAAUACAAGGGUAGUGUGCAGAACAAGUUAUAAGUGAAGGACGACAAAAGUGGAUGCCGGCCAAGUGUUUGACUAACUGAUUAGAAGAAUCUGGAGGGCAGUGAAAGGCUUAGAAGAGAGUAGAGACGGACAAGUAGCAGAGCCUGGGUAAUGUGUUUCCCCUUUAUGUCGUUGCCACUUGCCAGCCAGCCAACGCAGUUACCACACUUACAAGUAAGAGCAGCACGCAACGUGAUUUUUG
rnacentral:lncRNA from 1 species